CAGGAUGCCGAUUUUAGUGAUUUAUCAAGAUUCCCCCUGUUAACAGGGAUUAGGAAGGAGAGUUGCCUGCAUUCAUCUGUGAUGAUGAAAGUCCUUACUGUCAGCCAAGUGUGCAUAUGAGACUCACAAUUUCCUCUGUUUGCUAACCACUAUUAUGACACUCUCUAUUCAACCCAACGGUUUUAUAAAACAUUUGUCAUUGUUAUAAA
rnacentral:lncRNA from 1 species